AUGCGAACACUGCUGAUCUGGAUUGUGUGCGGAGCAUGGUUGUCAGAUCCGAGUCAUGGAGAUUCUGUGACUCAGACGUUGCCAUCAGUAGGGAAGACAGAAGGAGAGACGGUGACUUUCAGAUGCAACUAUCAGACCGCAGAGGAAUAUCACAAUCUGUAUUGGUACCGGCAAAAGUCAGAUUCAGGGCUUGAGUAUAUACUGAACAAAGAUACAGAUGGAAAUGAAGAUAAAGCAGAUUUUGCCCAAGAUCGAUUCUCCAUCGAUCUCAAGAAGGCAGAGAAAUUUACCAGUUUGACCAUCUCGUCGUUACAACUGAGCGACUCUGCAGUUUAUUACUGCGCCUUUGUCAGCACAGUGAUGUAA